AGGUUGGCAUCAAUAUGGUGACCUCCCAGGAGUGGGGGAAUCACCAGAUUGCCUAAGGAGGGGUGAACCAGCCCAGGUCGGUAAUGGAGCAGGUCAAAAUUCCUGUGCUGAUCAG
rnacentral:SRP_RNA from 1 species